UGNAUUUANNGNNCGCGAAUUCGCCCUUAGAGUUUGAUCCUGGCUCAGGACNANCGCUGGCGGCGUGCUUAACACAUGCAAGUGGAGCGACGAACCAGGGCUUGCCCUGGGGCANAGCCGCGAACGGGUGAGUAACACGUGGGUAACCUACCCCGAUGACCGGGACAACCCGAGGAAACUCGGGCUAAUACCGGAUGUCCUCGCUUCUCGUAAGGGAAUCGAGCAAAGAUAGCUUUUAGCCUUCGCAUCGGGACGGGCCCGCGGCCCAUUAGCUUGUUGGUGGGGUAACGGCCUACCAAGGCUGCGAUGGGUAGCUGGUCUGAGAGGACGAUCAGCCACACUGGGACUGAGACACGGCCCANACUCCUACGGGAGGCAGCAGUGGGGAAUUGUUCACAAUGGGCGCAAGCCUGAUGACGCAACGCCGCGUGGGGGAUGAAGGUCUUCGGAUCGUAAACCCCUGUCGAAUGGGACGAAUAGCUUCCGAAUCAAUACCUCGGAGGAAUGACGGUACCGUUAAAGGAAGCCACGGCUAACUCUGUGCCAGCAGCCGCGGUAAUACAGAGGUGGCAAGCGUUGUUCGGAAUUACUGGGCGUAAANGNNNNNUAGGCGGCCAUCUAAGUCAGACGUGAAAUCCCCCGGCUCAACCUGGGAACUGCGUCUGAUACUGGAAGGCUAGAGUUUGGGAGAGGGAUGUAGAAUUCCAGGUGUAGCGGUGAAAUGCGUAGAUAUCGGGAGGAAUACCAGUGGCGAANGCGACACCCUGNCNUUGACCUGACGCUGAGGUGCGAAAGCGUGGGGAGCGAACGGGNNUAGAUACCCCGGUAGUCCACGCUGUAAACGAUGAGCACUAGGUGUGGGUGGUGUGAAAACUAUCUGUGCCGAAGUNAACGCGCUAANNNGCUCCGCCUGGGGAGUACGGCCGCAAGGNUNAAANUCNNNGAAUUGACGGGGGCCCNCACAA
rnacentral:rRNA from 1 species